rnacentral:rRNA from 1 species
GGAUUAGAUACCCUGGUAGUCCACGCCGUAAACGAUGAGAACUAGUUAUUGGAGGUAUUGACUCCUCCAGUGACGCAGCUAACGCAUUAAGUUCUCCGCCUGGGAAGUACGGCCGCAAGGCUAAAACUCAAACAAAUUGACGGGGGCCCGCACAAGCGGUGGAUUAUGUGGUUUAAUUCGAAGCAACGCGCAGAACCUUACCUAGGCUUGAACUCCUUCGAACUCGACGUAAUGGUUGAGGUGCCCGCAAGGGAAUGAAGUGAGAGGUGCUGCAUGGCUGUCGUCAGCUCGUGCCG